CCUCAGCCAUCUUUGUGAUCAACACCGUAGACGCUAAGCACGCACACAAGAUGAAGUUGACGAUAGCCCACAGGUUCUUGACCCCACCGAUCAACCGCCCUGCAGGCUCUAACCCCAGUGAAGUCAACCCCAAGACGAUGGAGUUAAUCAUCAACCCUAGUGCACCAGCUCGAACCCCAUCACCGUAAAGCUUAACUUUAUGUGCAUCUCCCUUGGCUUCCCCACCGUAAAUCUCUUUCCCCAUCCAGUCAGUGUCGAACAACAAGA
rnacentral:lncRNA from 1 species